rnacentral:rRNA from 1 species
CUUAACACAUGCAAGUCGAGGGGCAGCAUAUAGAUUGCUUGCAAUUUAUGAUGGCGACCGGCGCACGGGUGAGUAACGCGUAUCCAACCUACCCAUUACUAGGGAAUAACCCAGCGAAAGUUGGCCUAAUGCCCUAUGUAGUCGUUUGAUCGCCUGAGAUUUCGACGAAAGAUUUAUCGGUAUUGGAUGGGGAUGCGUCUGAUUAGCUUGUUGGCGGGGUAAAGGCCCACCAAGGCGACGAUCAGUAGGGGUUCUGAGAGGAAGGUCCCCCACAUUGGAACUGAGACACGGUCCAAACUCCUACGGGAGGCAGCAGUGAGGAAUAUUGGUCAAUGGGCGAGAGCCUGAACCAGCCAAGUAGCGUGCAGGAUGACGGCCCUAUGGGUUGUAAACUGCUUUUAUAUGGGAAUAAAGUGAGGGACGUGUCCCUUAUUGCAUGUACCAUACGAAUAAGGACCGGCUAAUUCCGUGCCAGCAGCCGCGGUAAUACGGAAGGUCCAGGCGUUAUCCGGAUUUAUUGGGUUUAAAGGGAGCGUAGGCUGUUUGUUAAGCGUGUUGUGAAAUGUAAGAGCUCAACUUUUAGAUUGCAGCGCGAACUGGCAGACUUGAGUGCGCACAACGUAGGCGGAAUUCAUGGUGUAGCGGUGAAAUGCUUAGAUAUCAUGACGAACUCCGAUUGCGAAGGCAGCUUACGGGAGCGCAACUGACGCUAAAGCUCGAAGGUGC